AGCUCCUAGACGGGGGAGGGGAAGGGGGGUGUACAAUGAGGGGGAGGUAGGAAUGUACAUUAACCCCGCUGACUUACUCUGUCACAAUUUACGAUCGUCUCCCUCUGUGCUCAAAAAACAGGAGGGAAUAUAACAACAUAUUUUGUCAGUGAGUGUGCGUGUGUGUCUCUUAUUGUGUGUGUGUGUGCUUGUUAGUGUUUGCGUUUUUCCCUGUCUCUCACGCUCUCACUUACCCUUUCUGGGUGUUAGUAAAUGGCUGUCAAUAUACUGUGGCUGCUGUGGUGUGGAGCGUCUAAUAUUAGCUGGCUGUGUGUGUGUGCUUGUGCGGGCUGAUGGAUGAGAGUGGCUCAAGGUGACAGUGAUAAGGGGUGGUUAGAGAAAGAAAAAUACAGGGAUUCUCUCUCUGCAAUACAAAGAUGAUUUGAGCACCAGACCAACUGUGGACUCCUGCAGCUGCAUGUGAUGUGAUGAUGAGCACACAGAGCAUGUGAUGUCUGUCUGUGACACAGUGAAGGAUUGGCUUAGUAUGGAAACACAUAGGAAUGGACUGAUUGCUUAGUAUGAAAGCACAUAGAAAUUGUUAUCUCUAAGGGUGGACACAGCUAGGCUCUACCUAAUGAAUCUGCAAGAGAAUGUGAGAUAAAGUGAGUAUGUUAUGAGAAAAAAAAGUAUUUACCUAUCACCUCAUGUCUAGGCUAGACACUAUCAUGUUAUACUAUGCUAUAACUGUUUCCAUUAUUAGCUUUUUGUUAUGGAUAUUGAUAUAUUCAAUGGAAAAUAAGAGAAGUAACAAGGUAGCGUGAGAGAGAGAGAGAAUGUGGACAUUGAUUCUGCUGUCAUUGAUUUGUGCCCUCUGCAUGUCGUCCCUCAGCAGUCCCUGUCGCUGCAUUUCUCUCUUUCCUCUCUCCGUCUCUCUCUUUUCAUCUCCUGUUUAAAUUAAAACAUUUACCGGUCCUAAGCUCAUGUUGAUAAGAUAUUUAGACAGGCACAUCACAUAAAAUAGUUUAUAUCUUUCUUUCCCCCUCUCUCUCUCUCUCUCUCUCUCUCUUUCUCUCUCUCUCUCUCUCUCACUCUCUCUUUCUCUGAGUCUGCAUGAACUCAUUCACUCCGUUCCCUCGCCUGCUCUUGCUCACUCCCUCCCUCUCUCCCUAUUCUCUCUCUUGCUCCCUCCCUCUCUCCCUUGCUCCCUCCCUCUCUCCCUAUUCUCUCUCUAGUUCCCUCCCUUCAUGAAACACACUCUCUAUUACCCAGUUGCACAGAGAGGGAUCGAGAGACAGGAACAGCGCUAAGAGGGAAUGGGAGAGGAGAGAAUGCCGGACAUGCUGACCAGAAACGGAUUCAGAUUUUUUUAUUUGGACAGAAAAGGAGCAUGAAAACGGGACAUUAUGACACGGCAGGCUUCCGCUUGUUUUCUCUCUUGGCCAUUGGACACAUGAGGCAGUGGUUCACAUGUGCAAGAUUAGGACACACCGGGAGAAGGGGAGAGAAAGGACACAGAUCAGACUGCGGCAGCCUCAGCAACCAUGACGAGAACGGUCACUGGAGUCUGUCUAUGCCCCAGUACCACCAGCUGUGAGACAAUCAGACGGCUGUUUGAUCAGAUAUGACUCAUCAGUGUGCCAAUCACAGGCUUGUUUGAUCACAUCCAUGCAGACAGUUGUAUGUGUUCC
rnacentral:lncRNA from 1 species